rnacentral:rRNA from 1 species
CAGUAGCCGCGGGAAUACGUAGGUCCCGAGCGUUGUCCGGAAUUAUUGGGCGUAAAGGGCUCGCAGGCGGUUUCUUAAGUCUGAUGUGAAAGCCCCCGGCUCAACCGGGGAGGGUCAUUGGAAACUGGGAAACUUGAGUGCAGAAGAGGAGAGUGGAAUUCCACGUGUAGCGGUGAAAUGCGUAGAGAUGUGGAGGAACACCAGUGGCGAAGGCGACUCUCUGGUCUGUAACUGACGCUGAGGAGCGAAAGCGUGGGGAGCGAACAGGAUUAGAUACCCCAGUAGUCCCUGUCUCUUAUAC